rnacentral:misc_RNA from 1 species
AGAUCUCCCCGGCCUGCCCAGAGGGAUUCUGAUAGCCGAGGGCAAUGCACCUGGCAGCGGAGCAUUGCGUUUGCGACAGUCCACCUUCUUCCUGGAACCACCCCCCACAAGUGUGACCAGCUCAAGCCAGGACAG